UUUUUGCUCAGAACGAGAUCCUGAGGCUGGUUACAAAGGUGUCAUCUUCUGUAAUCACACCUGGUGCUCAAAGCAAUUACUUUUCAGUGGAAGAGCAAGUAAGAGAACAAUAGUAUACAAGAACAGAGUUCAGUGGUUUGUAAACCUUGACACCUCAUAUCAUUCAUUUAUUGACCGAAUUGAUAGAAGAAGUGUGUUAUGAUUAAAGGACUACAACCCUCAUCUCAGAUGGCACAUGGAGCGCAAUGAAGCUGGUGGCUGGUAAGAGGAAUUUAGAGAAGAAGCUUGUUUAAGAUCUGAUCCCUUCACAAGGACCUUUCCCUCCUCUGUUCAAACAACGUGAGAGUUUUGUACAAGUAUAAUGCAUGUAAGGGAGAUGAGGAACAAGAAAGAAACACUUCACCUCCACUAGCAAGCAAAGGCUGUCUGAGAUGGAGGGGGAAUGAGGCAAAGAUGAUCAGGAGUAUUCAUGGGAAGUCUGGGACAGGCAGGUGCUGCUGCUGCGAGCAUGGUGUUUAAAGUCAGGAAAAGAAGCUGCUGAGUAAAAACAUAUGGCAGUAGACCAAAUUUGCUGAAUGGAAUGUAUAUUUUUCUCCUACCUACUCUCUCCCAAAGACUUUGGUUUUAUGUGUCAGAGACUUUAAACAAUGAUAGGCCACUGCAGGAAGCAAAUGUUAAUGACCAUAGUGUGAAAGAGAUGUUUCUGAGUAAAGGGAAAGGAUUUCUAGAGGUUUUAGGCUAUUACUGCAGGUCAGUACACACAUCUGCUCUUCAAGAGUUUAGCUCCAUGGUUUUUCCUUCCAGGGCAUCCAACCACCUGCCUUCUGCAGGAAGAAAGUCAAUGGAACUGGGUUGUGAGGAUGCUGGGGAGGGGGAAAAGCAAGGAGAGCACAGCAGUGAAAACUGGCUGAGUAAUCCUUAUUCCUGUUUUAGCUGGCACAAAAGCAAGAAUGAAAACAUUAUCCCAGACACCUCUGCCUCUCAGCUCUUAUUUUCUUCUGCAGAUCACCUAUUACAGAAAUGAAGUGAAAAAGAUUGUGGAGAACUCAUAUGGGAGAAACCAAUUUUUUGAGAAGCAAAUUUAAAAUAGAGGAGACUUAAGGGAACUUCAGGAAGGGAAGAAGGGGAACAAACAUAUGUUUAUGGAGAUACCAGGAGAUUUAAAGGUUGAUGAAGUACUUAUGCUUAAAUCUGAAGGGGAGAUAGAGAAUAGCAUAAUAAAAUGUGACAAUAUUAAUGGAGAGGGUACUGGGAAAAUAUGGAAAAAAGAACAAGGUUUAGGGAUUCUAUAAAGAAGCUAUAAAAAUAAUGUGAGAACCAUCUCACAUAAAUUUCAGACAUUUAAAGAUAUAUUUCUGAGUGAAAGCUUGUCAGUUUUUACUCUAGGGAUAAAAAUCAGUACACAGAGACUAUGAAUGAUGGGUGUAAAAUUUACCUUAGAUACCUAAGGAUCCCAGAGGACAUGACCCCUAGAGAAGUUUCUUUCUACUAGGUAGAAGAGGACUUUGGUAGAAGCCAAACUUCAGAAAAGAUUCACAAGUCUAUGAGAAUGAGACUAAGAAGGUGAAGAAAAUGUUUUAACUGAGUGAGAACCAGACUAAGGUAAGUGAAGGCAGAAGCAGAGAGGAGACAAACCACUGGACAAAUCACACAAGUGUGCAGAGAUAGAAAGUUAAUGGAGGAAAGAAACACUUGAGGAGCAGAGAUCUAAUAGAAAGCUGGUUUCAUUCAAUUUUUGGAUGUGCAGUGAAAUAAAGAAAGUUUGACUUCUGAGAUCACAGCCUUUAUACUUGGAGAUACAGUGUUCCUUUGGUUUUAGUCUGAAAACAGUAUGUGCAUAAAAGCAGGUUUUCCUUUUCAGAAGAUGAACAUCUAACAGCAUAGGACUAGAAGAUCAGGAAAAUCCACCGACCCCUGCAUCCUGUAGCCUCAGGCUUAGCAAGACUGUACUCCAGAAAAAUCCUCCUUUUCCACCUCCUAGCCAGGAAGUAAAGCUACAAAAUACUCUGAGAAAAAAUUAAAACUAUCCAUACAAAAGACAGUAAAAGUAAAUAUGAAACCCACUGAAAGUAAAAUAUGAAACUCAUUGUGCCACAGACAGAGACUACAGGCAUCAGCAAGACAGGCUACAUAAAAUGUCUACGUGGGUGCUUUGAGAACUACACUUCAUAUCACAAUGAAAACAAACCUUUCCCUUUCACAUAGAGGUCUCCAACAAUAAGGCAUUAGGAAAAUGUGUCCUGACUUCAAAAGGGGUGUCCAGGCCACCCUUGAGCUUCAGUGGGAAGUACCCGAGCAGUGUUUGUCAGUGCAACCAGGAGUGUCAGCAUUUCCCAAGAUGUGAUUAAGCUCUGAAACUUCAGACAAAAGCCCAAACCACCCCAAACCACCUGUCUUGAAAAGUCAAAGUAAUUCUGGCCUUUUCAGGUGACUAAUGGAUGACAUGAAGCAUGGGAUUAAUUAAAUACACCAUAAAUUCAGAACAACAGAUACAAACAACAAACUGAUCUUGUCUGCUUUCAACUUCCUCGUGGCAAUACCAACAAAUCAAAUACCCAAAGGUUAAUAUCACAUACUUUAUUUUCAAGACAACAGCAUGGAAAAUGGGCAGUCACAGGAAAAGUAAACUAGAUAUGAUUAAAGAAAUGCUACGACCUUUGUGAGACUUUGAGGACUGCUGAGCAGCCUGCGAGUUAAUGUGACAGAUGAGAGAGAUUGGUGUUUGUUUACAGCAUGUCUAAAUGCAAUAAAAGAACCUACAGAGGAAGAAAGUAACAAAGAACAAUUCUCCCCAGCUGAGUGCCCCUUCCCCGACUCUGCUUCCCUGUUUUCGAGAGAGGGAAAACGCAAUGCAUCCAUGUUCUGAGCCCCUGAGUCAUGUAUUUAUAAUUUAUUAAGAGGUCAAAAAUGGCAUUUGCUGGGUCUCAGUGUUCAAAACUCCUUGAAUUGCUCUAAGAACCGAGACUCUGUUUAAAUUCAAUAACUAGAGCUUAUUGAACACAUCCAUUAUGACAGGAAGUUUACCUGCAGCAAAACUACAAAUUCCUACCCAGUCUGUGCUGCACAUUGUUCAAGACCCAGGAGAAGAUUCUCCACAAGAAGCUUCAGCAUUAGGUAUUUCAGGUCAGUCAUACCAGCAGACGUGCUCAGAGAAUGCACUUGAAUGCUCUUUGAUCCAGUUUUCUCUUUUUCUCUCUUCCCCUUUAUCGAUUUACAGUAUUCUAAACAGGCUUUGCCAAAAUAUGAAGUACUUUGCAUAUCUUUUGUGUUUGACUGGUCGUCUUAGAUUAAAAUAAAAGCUUAAUGAAAGUCGACAAAGAACAGCCUGUAACAUUUUAAAAGAUAUGUUCAAACAUUAAGUGAUUCAUCCUCACUGGCUCAUUAAGAAGAGGAAAUUGCGGCAGAAUUCAGUGUUAAAACCACUCAAAGAGUAGAUGACAGAUCCAGGAUCAGUUCUUAUAAAUCACUGUCUCUCACCCUCACUCUCAGCCCCAGCCCUGCAAUAAACCGCUGUGGGAAAGUUUCCUGGGCCGGCUCGGAGCCAUCACGUACUCAGAAUAGGCUGUCACAAGCUGAGAAAUAUGCUCGUCCUUUCUUCUUAGCAUUUCACCAAAGUCUCAGCCCUUUCAAACACCAGGCUUAUGAUUUCAAUAAUCCACCACAGUCAAAGUCAUUUGUGGAAUUAGAUAUAUUGCUAGCUGUUGAAGUAUCUUCUAUUACCUAUUAGUGCACUGUGGAGCACAUCAAUACAGAGCCCAGAUAUUACAGCAAGGGACACCCUGGAAAUGCCUAAGCAGACUGAUCAAUUUCAUCUCUGUUGCAAUACGGUGCAUUAGCGGGAUGGAUAAUUUUUUUUUCUUUUUCUUGGCACAGCUUAGGGAGCUCAGAAUUAGGACAAAUAUUCUCUUUCCUCCUCAACAAAUGCUUAACAAAUGACAAAAGUGACAGCUUUGAAAGAUUGAUUUUUUAAAAAUGAGGUUCUGUAUGGUAACUUAUGAAAGCACUUCAAUUUAGAAUGAUUAUUAAUCAACCAUCCGUUCAGAUAAUUUUCUAAUUUAGGGAAAAAAAUCUAUAUUCUGUCUCUUACAUCCCCAUCAGGUACUAAAGUAUGAAUGUCUGCACUUAUUAACAAAUACAAAUAAGAGAGCAUUAUCUGAUGCAGAGAGACAGAGUUAAUGCUGAGAUAUAAUACUUCUACCUGACAGAAGAUGUUCUGAAUCUCAGUACAGAAGAGUCAUAAUCUGGACUUUAAAUAUUUUAUUAUAUUGCAGUCAUAAAUACCAUACAUGUAUGAAAUGGAAAACCUAUUCUGACAAACUGGAAAAUAACUGCAUGCUCUGGAUGCUCUCUCUGGUUAAUUCUACACAGAACAGAGACUUAAUUUCCUAUUAAAAAAACAUGAGAUAAUAAAAUAGCAAGUGCAACUAAGGACAAAAAGAUAAGAGUACAAUACAAACAGCAGAACCGGAAAAUAAAAUUUUAAACCUGAAGAAUUAAAAGAUAUUUUGACUGACACAUUUAUAAGCCUGUCCUUACACUGAUUUAUUGUUGUGUGGUCUAUCUACUUUGUUUGCCCAGCAUGAAUACUGUGAAAAUUGGAAAUAAAAUGUGAAUAUUUAUCACCACAACAUUAUUCUGAAACAACCCAAAGCACUCAAGUAGUAUGCAAAUACCAUAAAUUAGUUUUCUAAACAAAGUGAAUUUAAAACUCAAUCCAGAGGAGUGAUGUGGCUAAAUCGGAUGAGGACAGAAAAGUAUCUGCAAAGUAGGUCCUCAGUUUCCUGGCCAACUUUUCCAACUGACUGACUGCCAAGGCAAAGAGGAAUGGUACCCUUGCUGCAGCCAUGCUUAACAGAAUAAAACCUGACUCAAAAACAAUAGUUGCACUUCUGGGGGACUGUCCUCCCUUGAAUUGCAUAGAAAGUUUCAGAAGGAAAACCAAAAUAAAUGUAAAACUCCAACAAAAUAUUCUUGGAUGCAGACACUUUUAACUUGUAGGUUACAUCAUUUUUAGGAGUGACUCCUAAUCCUUUCUAAAUGCACCCUGGAAUCAUGUCGGGUUCAAAAAUCCAAGAUUAUUGUGACAUAUAUAUACAUGGGCAUAAUUUAUGAAGGAAGACAUGCAAACACAAUUGUAACACAAAAUAUGUGGCAAGGGAGUCAUUUACUAGUCUUUCAUACAAAAUACAAAUUUAUUACUAAAUGUCUAUGCCUAAAACUCAGUAUGUAGUACAUCAUAUUUUAAAUUAUUAACAUCUCUGCUGGAGAAGCUUCCUUCAUAAAAUAUUUACACAGCACGUCUCAGGACUCUGUAUUUUGCCAGCAGUUACUCAAAGUGUAAGAUAAAUAUAGUUAGCAGGUCAUUCUUUCCCUUGAUAAGCUAUUCUUUUCAAUAAAAAACCACCCAAAUGUUUAAGCUAUGCUACUGCUAUGGCCUUUGUUAUGAAAUACUGCACUCCAAUAUAAUGAUAUAUUUUGACCUCUGAGAGCCAUCAGGGUCAGAGGGCAUCACUUUUGCUAAUGACAGGGCAUGGCUGUAAAACACAAGAGGCAGGCAUGUUCCAAUUACUUUCCCAAUUAGCAGCGACAAUCAAUGCAGCUGCAAAAAGCCUUUAGGAAACUGGCAAAACAUUGCGAAGUAUGGAUAUGAUCCUCCUUUCAGGAACAAGCUUAAGAACAAUAAAAGUAUUAGUAGUCCCUUGAUUAUUUUUUCAAUACUACAAAAGCAUUCUUGCCCUUUAUUUCAAGCCAGGCAAUCUGGAAGUGUUGCAUUUUCAAAAUCUAGACAGCUCUCCAAAGCAAACAAAAAUGACAUAACUUACUCUUUUCCAACCUAAGGAAGAAGAAAGCUUCAUGGUCAUUGUGCUAGAGAAAGAAAAGAUUUGCAUUUAUGAUGCAAAAUUCAAAUAUGUUGGAUUUUUAUUUAAAACUAAAAAUAAUUCGGCUUUAAUAUUUCCGAGUGUGAAAAUGUCCUGUUCAAGGGAAAAAAGUUUCCAGCAUUUCAAACUCUUGGCAAACAGUUGCCUGGGCUACUAAAAAUCUUCCGAACACAGCGUGAGAAUUCUCUUGGCAUUUAUACGUUCAGUUUGUCGAUGUCAAAACAAAAUUUUAAAGAAGAUGUAAGAACCCAAAAAAGCAGAACUUUAGACUCAAAUCAAUUUUAAAACAAAACAGACUAACUGUACCAAAGACACAUGCAUUUUGAAAUACAUAAGAUGCUGCUGUUACCAAAUGUUGGGAAACAUAAUUUCAAAAUGUAUUUCAACCACUUUUUUAAUGUUCACAGUUUUCUUUAGGAUAUGAAUUUACAACUAUUCGGAUCAGUUUUGUAUUAAGGCUAAUUGAAAUAAAGGAAAAUCAUGAUGAAGUAGCAUUAAUUUUAAACUGCACAAUAAUAACAGCACUUUUUACUGUGGGCUAGGUAUUCCGCAGCAAUAUCCUUCACAUCCCAAACUCAUGGAAGCACAGAAAAGAGAAUUCUGUCAUCAUUCCAUCUCAUUAUUAUAUUUAAUUAUGUAAAAGGGACACUUUUAAAGGAAAGAAAAUUACAGAGCAUAGAAGAAAUUAAAAUUAUCUUCAUGUCCCUUACUACACAGAAAUUAUUAGCAAUAAUGCAAAGGAAUUUUUUUUUUUUAAUAUUCAGGGAGAAAGAAUGCUGUCAAUUGAAUAGCAAAUAAAGAGAUUAUUCAAGAGCAAACAUCUACAUGAUUUUUUUUCAAAUUUGCAAGAGAUUACUCGUGGUUUACAAUUUCUAGGGGAUGGUCUGAGGGUUUUCUCUGGAUAAGUACUUUGAAGUGUAAUAUCUACUGUAACACAACAGAAAUUCUAAAAUCUAUAAAAAAACACAAUGUGUCAACAUUUCAAGGAAAUAAAUGGGAUCAUCUCAACAUGACUUCAUUGUAAGGAAAAAUUGUGAAAAUAGUGUUAAAAGAGGCAAUCAGUCGGAUUGAGUGGUAGCAUGAUUAAUACCAAUCAACACUGUUUAAUAGAAAACAGGUCUUCUUGGGAAAUUUCAUACCAUUUUGUGAUGAUAUUACAAAUUCAGUAGAUAAAGAUAACUUUUGAAAAUACUUGCUCUAAUUUCUGUAUAAAUAUGUCUCCCUAUUAUCUCUCUGAUGAAAAAGUAGCACAGCACAAAAUCAACAUGGCUCAUCUAUUAAACAUGUUAAAGAACACUGAGAAUCUGAAAAACAAUUUGUAGGUAGGGAACCAAAAGCUAAUGGGAACAUCUCUGAUGUCAUUGUAAAGAUGUGCAUUAUGAAGAACCAACAUGACUGAACAGCAAACUCAAGACAUGUAUGGAAACCUUCAAAACAAAAUUCUGGGCAAAAGUGUAACUAAAAAUAUCUUAGCACUCCUGAUAAACGACCAAUAGAAAAUGGAUUCUUACACAGUGACUCUGAGCUUCUGUGUUCAGUGGAUUCUUGCACCUGGAUGUGCAAUGUAGGAGCAGAAAAGUCACAUAUAUCUGCAUGUGACAUUGAAAACACUAAAAGAAAGCAAUUUGCAAUUUCUGUCACCACACUUUCAACUGCGUGUCUAUUAGAAGAACAGAAUAUACCGUAAGAGAGACAAACCUUUGGAAUAAUUUACAGUAUAUGCAGUCAUUUUUUCUCUCAUCUGAAACCUUAAAUUAGAUGAUUUAAAAUACCACACUGAACAAGGAAAAGAGGAACUGAUUAAGAAAAUUCAGACCACCAAACCUUUUUUUGCAAAGGGAAUAUAUAUUUGCACAGAGAAAAAUAUCCUUUCAGUGUUGAUAAUGCUUUUGAAGUUCACAGGAGAUGUGGGGCUGAAAUAAAUUUUAAUGUUAUUUGUAAAAUUAUUUCAAUGCAAAAAAUAAGAGAAUAAACACAUGUUCCUCCUUGUUUACUGUUUCUAUCUCCUGCAUUUCAGAAUUAUUCAUUAGUUCUAUUGUGUUUUAAAUGAGACUAUUUCAAACUAUGGUUCAAACCACCACUGACAUUACCAGGGACCAAAGCAGCCUGCAGGCUCAAUGAGAGACUGAAACUCGAAUUGUAAACAAGAUUGUAACAAUAGGUAGAAGCCUGGAUCAGCUCUGUGUAACAGUGAGCAAAGCAAUAUGUACCUUACACUUUCACCUUCAAAAAAUCAGCUGGUUUGGACCAGUCCCAGAGUUCCCAGCUACAACAGAUAAAUCCUAACAUAGAAUUUCUGGAGCCAAAGAGACACUCGACUAUGCAAGUACCCACUUUAUUUACUUCACCUAUGAAUCAACCAAGAGUAGUAGUAAGAAACAAAAACAGUUGGACUAGACCACAGAAGAGGUCCAUCUGCUCCAUAUCUUAUAACAGAUAUUCUUUAUUUCAUUCCCAUAAUAAUAUUUCCACCCCUAACAUUGCAGGAGGAAAGGGGACGGAUGUUGUCUAGAGGGGAUAAUUGCAGGAGAUCUUUUGCAGAAGAGGAAAAUGGUUUCUGGAAGAAUAUCAACAGGCAGUUCUCACCAGCAUACAGGUGUUAACCUUGGUGCCCUGGCCAUGUUCCAGCCCAGGUGAGAGGUUAGCUGGCUCCCCUUUGUCCCAGCAAGCUCAGCAGGCAGCUUCCUCUCCCUGAUCUCCAUCCUGCAGUGCUCCUGAUCUCUACAGGAGAGUUGCUUCAUUUCCCCCAUCUCCUCUGGUGUGGCCCUUCAGCUCCACAGGAGAUCCAGCGUCUCCUGAGCCUCCAUUCCUGCAACGCACUCACCAUCUGCAAAUUCUACCUCAAAAUGAACAUUGCAAGCAGGACUUUGAGAAAUGCUCAGAAGCCUCUGUUUCACUGCCAACACAGUAUCAUUUGUUUGGGAGUUAUGAUCUCUUUUUUUCCAGGAAAUUGUGCAGAUGAGCUGCAGAACCUCAGUGUUAAAAGAGAAACACAGAAAAUCCUUUAGCAAAAGAAAGGCUGUCAGAGCCACACGUCCCACACAGCAGCAAUCCUGCCCUAGCAGAACUAAGUGGGUAUAAAGAGCAAUCCAACAACACACGCAGCUCUGAGUAAGUUUUAAGGGUACUUUAAGAUGCAUCAUUUUUGGUGGAGCUGAAUGCUGUAAGCAUACACAAAACCUGUGAAUUAAAGGACAAAAGGCAACUUCCUAUGCAGGUUCCUUUAUUUAAAGAUGAAUCAAGAGUUAUACUGGGUUCUAAGACUUAUUAUUCAAGUUUUGAGAGUGCAGUAGAUAAAAAAAUACAUGUUUUCAAAAUAAUUUGGGAGAAACAAGACGUAAUUAAGUGUAUUCUGAAAUAUAAAAAUACAAUAGGUAAAAAAGCCAACACUGACAACCAUUCAAGGAGAAGUUCAAUGAUAACAAUUAAUUUGUAAGGUAAUCAUUAUUAUUUUAAAAUUUCUUUUGAUGCCUGAAAAAGUUGAAUCUCUUGUAUCAUAUUCCAAAUAUUACAUUAAGCGAUUCCUUCAUUUCGGUUGCUUUUUUUAGUUUAUUUUUCACACACACACCAGACUCCUCUCUGAGUUGCACAGCAUUAGAAUGAGAGAAAAUGGACACAAACAGGAGCACAGGAAAUUCUGAUAUAAAAAGCUUUUUCUCUUUGCCUUUGUUUUUCUAGCUAGCGUGAAGCUGAUCAAAUAGUAGAACAGGCACCCAGGGAGCUAAAUGAAAUCUCCAUCCUCAGAGAUAUUCAGGACACAACUGCAGCCCUGAGCAACUUGACCUGACCAAACCCACUCUGAGCAGGGGGUUGGACCAGAUGACUUCUGGAGGUCACUUCCUCUGGAGCAGAGGAAUUUUUAGAGAUUUUCUAAAUACAAAAACAUACAGACAGACAUAAGCACAUGCACAUAAAAAUUCUGUCACAGCAAAACACAUCCUUGUAGCUGCAUUUCAUUCUGCACAUGGGCAUGUGCUCUACUGAAUGUGGACACACAUAUAUGACAAGCUACAUAAAAGAUUGAGGCAUCUGGGCCAUGAGAAGGAAUAAUAAAAAACGUAUGAGCUCCAAUAAAGUAGGAUUAUUUCUGACACUGAAUGGUAUGUUGGCUUUGCCUAUUUUCCUGCUAAAUUCUGACAUCUUGAGCUGCAGCAAUUUUAACUACAGCAGAGCAGUGCAACUAAUGAAAGCUAAUGAAAUUCAGUCUGCAUGAACUCUUCAGUGUGGCUUCACAGGACAAACAACUUAGCUCUGGCCAUCUAAGCAAGACGUCGAGGACGUUCCUGAAAUUCUAAUUAGACUGAGUUGAGGAAAAUGGCCUCACGAAAGAAAAGAAAAAGAUGGCCCUUCUCUAAUUCACUGUACCUUCACAGAAUCAAGUGCACCCACCCAGUGUGACACAUUUCACAACUGAGAUGAGCAAAGGAAAUACUGUGGUGGUUUUCCAGCCACUCACAGAAAAGGUUCAGGGUACAGCCCACAGUGCCUGGACUGCUCCAACCCACCAUGCUGAGUAACCAGCCCUUGCUGCUCUAACAAGACACCCAAAUGGAAAGUUUUCCAGAUACUUCUCUGCAGGGAAAUCUUCCAAGAAGAAACAGGUUAUGAAGCUCAACUUAAAAUAGUAAGAGAAGUGCAUUUGGGGACUAGAAAUUACCAGAGUAUGAUAAUGUAGACAAAACUUAGAUGAACAGCCCUACUAAAGUGAAAGGAGCAAUUUCUUUUAAUUGUACGUCCUUUCAUAUAAUGCCUUCAUAUAUAUAUGAAUAAAUUCCCAUAAUUGCUCUUCUCCAUGAUUCCCCAAAGAUUUAGACAAAAAACAUUACUUACAGCACUGUUUUAAUACCAAGUUAGUUCUAGAUGAACUACAAAGGCCUCAUGGAGUAACUGCACAAUCUUAAGAACUCUACCAACUCUUUUAAAUUCCCUCUAUCACGUCUCUAAUAUUUUUGCCUCACUUGCCAUAUAUAAAACCACACAUGUCCUCAAUUUUCAAUGUCUGUUGGAGAACUUUUAUCAGAUGUAGAGAUUGAAAAAAACACUAAUAAAAGCAAAUGCAUGGAAAAUUGUUUCCACAGAAAAGAAGCCUCUGUCUUAGGUACAGUUUUAAAAAAAGUUGGAUCAAUUAGCAAUCUGUGAAUGUUAGAAACAUCUUAACAAUGUCUCAAAGAUGAAAGAGCAUAUCACAGAUUGAGGAAAGGGGAAAAAAUUAAAUUAUGUCUGCAGUCCUAAUGAAUCAAAGCCCAGAAGGUGGUCUCUGAAUCAGCAGGUUUUGAUGAAAUAUUAAGAAAAAUUAUUAUUGAUGAAAAAUGAAUACGCUCUUUUUGAUUUUAGCAAUCUUUAAAUCACACUUUGCUAAUUAAAAUAGCUUCAGCACAACCCUCCAUUCCUUGAUGGGCAUUUAGCAAUCCUAAAAAUGGGUGGGUUAAUUUGACAUUUUAGCCAAUAUGCAUAGGGUUUAUCUUAAGCUGGCAGACACAGCACAGUUUAAGUUAAUGUACAAAAUGAUACACAGCUAAACCUUCUUUUUCUCCUUUUUUCUUUCUUUUUUUUUCACACUGUAUCUACUAACACAAUUACAAAGUAACAACAGGCAACUUCUGCUUGUUUUCUCUGCAGCAUAGUAACAGAUACUACCACUGUUAAUGAGCCAUGAACUACGUCUUGGGAAAUAAAGACCGAUGCUAAUAUUUUCUGUCUUCUUUGUUUGCCAGGUCAGAGCUCUUCCCAUGCCAAAGAUAAGUGGAAAUGAAAAGUCUGAGGGACAUUAGUUCUCACAUCCCUUGAAGUCUAAUUCUAAUUGGUUUUUUUAAAUGUCGGGAGUAGAAAUUAUGUGUUCUCUUUUCAUCCCCAUUUGUACUGUGUUUCCUUUUAAAUGGAAAGCUAGGAAUGAGGGAAGGCUGUAUUAAACUGUGAAUCGUUGCACACAAAAGACAUUUCAUUACAGAAAGCAAUGCAGCUCAGGCAUGCCAUGCAUUGUUACAAAACUAUAUACACAAAUUAAAAUGAAGCAAAAUCUGCUCCUCUGCUUUUUCUUUCAUAAAUUAAGUUUUAUACGUUAUAUCACUGUCUAAACUCUGGGUAGAUGAAAUUACCUAUCCAUUACAAAUAUGUCAUCUAUUUACCAUAAUAACAUUUGAUAUAACCGUCAUGUAAGAAAGAGUGCUAUGAAUACAUCAAAUUGAAAAGCUAUUUAAAUGCCACUAGUAUUUUAAAGAAUGAAAAAAAUUUCAUGGCAAGUAAGUCUGAUUUUAGAAAUAAGUCUGAUGUUCUUCAGAAAUAACUAAUCAUAUAAAAUAGGUCAUGCAAUAAACCUUUCAAUGUUUCACAUCACAAUGUUUGAGCCUUAAGGAACAAGAUUUCAAACACCUUAUAAACCAAUUCUUUAACAAUAUAGCAUGAAGUACAAGGCUGCAGGAAUGUACACUGUUUUCUGAGUGAUGAGUGGAAAAGCACUGUUUUUCAGCUUUCCAACCAAGAACAAACUGAAAUGAGAUCUUUCAGCAAUUUCUGUUUCCAGGGCUGCCAGUGUGGUAUGUUUCAUUCAAUGAGUUUACAAUAUGUUAAAAGGAAUUAACCACUUCCCCUUGCAAGCUAUAUGAAGUGAUGCUAUUUUCCUUCCUGAAGUUCACUGCAGAGGAUUCCUCCCCACAAUUAGACUCCACCACUUCCUCCUGUGACAAAGUACUUUGACCAUAAGCAGGAUGAUAUGUGGGUCACAUAAACAAACAAGGCUGGCCAUAAGGAUAAACAGUGUAGUUAAAUAUAGUUUGUCUCAUCUGUGAAGAAGGUAUCAUUCAUAAAGAUAGAAAAGAAGGAAAACCCUUUCAAAACCUCCAAUAUUAGAAGAACAUUUUACUGUUCAUCCAUUAAACUACAUUAAAGAUCUAACUUCAAAUUGCAUAUUUAAUUUAAGAAAGUAAGAAGUCAAGAUUUCAUGAAAACACAAGACUCUCUCCAAGCUCUUCCUGUCCACCCUUCUCCCAUAACCAGACAAAUCUAAAACGAAAAAUCCCUCGUUCUUCAAAUGCUUGGAAAGGAGAAGCCUGAAUCCUUCACCAAAGAGGAACAGAUGGGUUACUGGAGUGACAUAAAAGACAAAAAGAUCAUAAAUUUGUAUUCUAUUUAGAAAUGGCCACAUUCAACAGCAACAACAAAUUAAACUGAUUAAAUUAUGGUGUUUUAAGUGAGGCACAACAUCAGUUUGCAAUCCAAAUUUUGGUUAGUAGGACUUGCAAAGAACAGAUUUUAGUACUUUACACCGGUAGGAUCAAAACACUUGAUUUAAUGAAUGGAAAGCCUUUGCUUUUUCAGCUUUGUGUACUCAAAUAUUCCCCAUAAUUUUCUCAGGAUAAAGAACUUCAAGUUGCAUUGAUGGCAUUAGUGGGAAAAAAAGAUGUGCACGUUAUGCACACAGCUGGGUUUUUGGACUGCAAUCUCAAGCCAUACAAUAACCAUUUGAUGCCCAAGACCUGGCCUUUUAUAGCUCUUGCAUCAUGGUUUUUCAUACUGGGAUAUAUAAUUAUGGUUUUCUUUUUCAUUUUUUUUAAAUUAAAUAUUAACUACUACCAUCUGAAUAAAAAAGUAAAGGUUUUUCUCUUUUUUAAUCCAAGCAACAAAACACCCAACUGAUCUAUAUCUGUGUGCAAUAUGUACUAAUUUACCAACAAAAAAUACUACACACAAUUCAGUUACAGAUUAUUUAAAUUGAUAUUGUUGAAGUGACACAAUAUAUUUUGACCCCCCUUUUACAAACAGUCUGUCAACUGCACUUAAAGGAACUGAAAAUCCCCCAGCUAUGCAGAUGCUCCCAGCUUCCAGCACCGGGAGCCCAUCCACAGGCUCCCAGAGCAGGGCACGUUUGGGCGGCCCCUCUUCACCUCCUGCUCCAGUAACCCAGAGAGGGAAGUUCACUUCUCUUAUCUCUCUCUGCAUUUGCCCACUGCAACCAUUUGUAGAGGCACUAACUCCAGCUGCUUUUGUGAAAACAAACAAAUAGCUGUCACACUUCAGAUUGCCCGGCAAGCUGGCCGGAGCAGAGGGGAAGAGAAACCACCAGGCUUGCAGUGAGACUGUGGUAAGUGGAGAGAGACGUGCUUCUCACAACAGUAUCAGUGCUUGGUAUCUAUUCAGAGAGAGACCAGGACUUCCAAGUAAUUAAAAUGGGAGGCCUGAAUAGAGUUCACUGUAAGUCUGCCAUUUAUUCCACCAAAGUGGUAACCCAAACAGGGGAGUGCAGUUGCAUACUUUCACAAUAGGGAGCCUACAUAAAUCCUCAUGAAUUUAUAUUAAAACUUGUCUUAUAUUCCAUCAAGAUGGAAGAACAAAAGAAAACAACCAACCUAAGAUAAUAAAAUGCCAAUGCUAAUAGUGUCUAUUGGGUUCUAAAUAUAUGGGUCUAUGAGAGACCAAGCUAAUUUUUAGGCAGUCCUGAGGGCAAGGAUUACUGGCUUAUAGGAUGAAGGGUAGAGAGACAAAAAACCCCAAUGUGUUAGCGCUAAAGUGAAAUUAAACCCCAUGAAGAGUCUCACAGAGGCUCUAACUAAUCCUUCUCUUGGUUAUCACAGACAGAGGAGGAAAAAUACCACAAUGACUUCCAAGUAUUUUUUUCAGUUUUACACAUUAGAGAACUGCAAACAGUUCAUUAACCCAUUGCUCCCCAGGCAAGUUGCCUUGGAGAGUCUGAUUAUUCCAUAAUGGUAUAUGUGCCGUUUCCUAGGCCAGGAAAGUCUUUCCAGAAGUCAGAUUCUCACAGGAAUGAAGCUUUGUAAUGCCACAAAAGAGUGACACUGACUGGAAGGUAAGGAUUUAAAACCUGUGACUAUUAAUUUCUGAAACAUUACUGAUUACUUAUGGCGUUUGCAAAACAAGAAGGUCCCUGCUCUGAAAUGCUUGCAACUUGAGUACUCUCAACAUAUUCACCAGCAUGAGUGGUACCUUCCCCUGAAGCAUGGUAUCUGCAGGGCUCUGAUGGCAGAGGGUGAUCAACAGGGAAGAACAAGGGAUCCAGGAGAUAGGAAAACACUUCCCAAACAGCAAAGAGAAGUAAACAGAGGUAGGAGGGAAGAGCUUACUCAUAAUCUUAUUCAAUAUAGCCCUCUGCACAGCUCUGCAGGUUUUAAAUGUCACUGGAUAGAUGGUUUGCAGUGCCAUGGCCUUUUCCUUCACGAAAGUGCUCUUCAAGUCAACUUCCAGAACCAUCAAAAAAUCUCUUCUUCUGAGAAACACCCUAGCAUUUACAGGAUGCAUCACCCUAAGUAAUAACUCCUAUCUCUAUCUCUGGUGGGCCUGGCAGUAAGCUCAAAUUCCUACACAUGAAUGAUCCCACAGACUUAAGAACACUCCUGUGACUGACACUACUAAUAAAGAAGUUUAAUAUAGCUGCACAAGAGCCUGCUUUUUUAACAAAUAUUUAUCCAAGCACAGCAAUAUGGUAUUUCAUAGCUUUCAUGACCCAUUCUGCUAUUGCUAAGAGUUGUUUUAUAUACACUAGAAAGACAGAGUCUGCUUAUUUCACAUUUUACAUAUUCUUUUAUUAUAUCAGAGUGUUUCUAUGCAGUUUCCAGGUUUCAUUACUCUCAUGCCAAUUUAAGCACAAAGAUAUUACUGAGAGAAUCAAAGUUAACAACUUAAUAAAAUGUUCUCCCAUUCUUUUUGGAAAAGCAGCAAGGGAAGUAUGUGACCUGACCUGAAAAAAAAAAAUCUUGCCUCUUUGCACUGAGCAGAUGACAGUUAAAGGAAGUGGGGUUAUUUUCAGUUCCCAGAUAUUCCUUUGACAUAACUUGAUUCCACUUCUGAUAGAAAAUAAACCAGUUCAUAAAGGUCUCCCUUCUAAAAUGAAGGUUUUUUCUUUUAAUGGCAAAAUGCAUGCAAAAAGCAUAUGAUUAUGGUAUUUAUGUUUCCAUUAAAAUGUCCUCAGCAAGCUGGAGGAGUCUAACCUACUAUUUUCAAGCUAUUUAGAUUUACAGCAGCACAGUGCCUAUUUUAUUUCAAUUUUAUUUCAGGACAAUGCACUCUUGGUGGGAAAUGAUUAAAGAGUGACAGCCAUUAGGAGUUGUCUUUCAACAUCGUGCUCAGCUGUGGAUGUCAGGUGAUUGCCAUAAAGCCCCACUGUAUGGCAUCCUUGUCAUCUACAUGAAAAGCAGUAUUGAUCAGUUGUUCAGCUUCUCUUCUGUGUAAUGCAAAACAUACUAGAGGCAUUUUUCAGCUAAGCUGAAAGCCUUAUUCUCAAGAACUAUGUUCUUGAGACACCUCUUUCCCAAAUGGUAAAAUAAACAUAGAUUAUACAUUCCACCUCUGCUUCACUCCAUCAAUGCCUAACAUAGAAGUGAAAAACUUCUUAGCAGCCUGUCUCUAUUCGCUGUCAGUGCACUGGAUGGAGCUGAUGUCACAAGGGCAGCUCAUGUAUAUGGAGCUAGGUUGAUCAUCAAUCUCUUCCAACUUAUUUAGUUAGUUAUUAUUUAUUGCUAGAGCUUCCUUUCUUCUGAGCAAUAAACUCCUCUGUUAAGAAAGACAAUCUACUCUGAUUCUCCAGGAUAAAGAGCAGAAAACAACUCCUUUUAGCGUUACGUUCGUAACUGAUAUAAUCACCAAAAACCAAACCAACCAACCAAGCAACACUUUCCCCUCUAAACCUCACCAAUAUCCAUUAAUGACUGAAUCCUGAUGCAAUACAAAUCUGCAUUAAAGUAGUUCUAAACCAGUUUCAAGUCCUGUAAGGAUAUAUUUGAGUAGCAUUUGCUAUUUACAGGCUGGAUUUUUUUAAUAGCCAUUGUCGGUAAAAUUGGAUAAAACAUUGUCACUUACACAUAUCUAGCUGUGCAUGUUUCCAAUGAGUGAGUUAAUAUCUUUUUCUCCUUUGCUGUAUUUUGACAUUAUAUGAUCUACUUUCUAUUUAGAGAAAUGCACACACAAAGUUUAAGGAAUCAUCAUGUACUUCCCACUGUUUUCUACUAUCCAUCUACACUGAUGAGCAGUUGACAUACUUGUCCUCCACUCUGCUAAUCACUAUUUGCCAUGGUACAGUUAAACUUACAACAGUUGGUGGUAUGUGUUGAUGAAAGUAAUAGAGAAGUUGAGGGAAUAUUAAAGGAAAACAAACCCUGACAAGGCCUCACACACAGCCACAGUAAUUCUCUUGCAAGUUAAAAAAAAAAUUGUCAUAAGUGUUCAGCAGUGGUAUGCAAACUAUUAUGGGACAUUUUGUUAUAGGCUCCCUCGUAACAGACUUUUAAAUAACCUUUUGGACAUACUUAAAUGUCAAAUUUUGUUUGGCACUAAGCACCAAACUUCAACAGAAAUAACAUUUCCCAUAUAAACAAUGCUGCUUUUAAUAUGAACGUGCUAGAGAUUUGAGACAGCCUGGCCAUUACCAGCUCCUGGCAGUUCAGCACAAGGGUAACACACUGAGUGAUUUCCCUUUCCAUCCACAAAGGCUGGAAGCAACUGUCUCUACUCAGGUAACCUCUGAAUCAUCCAGAAGGAAGGAAAAGAUGGGAGGGAGAAGAAGUAAAACACGCUGAAAGUAACGCUCACCACGGGUGAACACUCAUGUACACAAUAUUUUAAGGAUGCAGAACUGCAACCAACUAUUUCUCAUCAAAUUUCUUGCAGCUUUAUCAGGAUAAAUCAGACUGCAGAGAACAGAGAUGGAGAAGAGCCCUGAGCAGAGGCACUUGGAUGCUUGGUGUCAAAAGGGGCAUCACAGGCCAGUGAAAGAGGAAAGUCUCACUGCUGGAAAGGGAUAGCAAGAAAGAGGUUGCAAUGCACAUGGGGUGAGGAGAUGGGUAUUCUACAGACAAGGAGACGAAAAAAGAGUUAACAACACUUCAGGUCCACAUGAUGACAACUGAUCCUUAGAACAAUGUUCAGACAAUGCUUUCUUAGUAUAUCUAAGAUAAAGCCUGUAAAAGACAGAGCAGCCUUUGGGAAGGUAUCUCAGCCAUAAUCCAGGCUCUCACACUGAUCAUUACAAAGGUCAAGCUCCAAGAUACCCCUCCCACACCUCAAGGAUGACUGAAAGCUGCUCCCUCACAGCUGUUACACCUCCUCCAUGCCCAACCAGGUGAUCUUUAAAAUCCAUUCCAAUCCAAACCAUUUGUUACACGAUUCUGUGACACACUCUCUCAACACUAGGCUCAAAGUACAGAGCCAGCUUCUGGGAGAAGUAACUUUGAGCCUGAGAUUGUGCACAUCACUGCAACACUCCCAGAAGGUCUCGUGGAAGCAGGGGGAUUCACAAUCUCCAUAGCUCUCUUGUUGAUAAAGAUGUAAGGAGAGAGAGCCUCAAACCCCCAGACAGGUAUUUCAGAGUAAACUUACAGCAAAUAAUAAUAUGUUUACAUCUGAAUUAAAUAUUUCUUUCUGGGUGUUUCUUGUCAAAUGUGGCCCCCUUUAUCACAGGACUCAGGUUGGUUUUUCAUGCCCCAUUUCUGGUACCUUACUUGCAUUUUAUCCCUUUGCUCAGGCCCAUUGUGUGUGCUGGGUCUUUCCUUUUGUCACAGCAUGAUCCAGCUGUGAGAGCCGGGACCCUCCGUGCUCCAGGAGCAGCCUGAAUGUACAAAACUACUGCACUGCUCUUCAGUCCUACCCACCUGAUUAACAUCAGAUUCCCCUGGUACUCCAUUAUCUACCACUUUACUCACUCUCCUGGCUCUUUUAUCAGCCACCACACAGAGUUAACUGGGUCACACAGGUCUCCUAUUUUGCUGUGCCAGGUUUGUAUCAAAGAACUUUUUUUUUGUUGAUGUGACAUUGAUGCCAUUCAACUCCAGCAUGAAACACUGCCUUUGGUCUAACAAAAACAGCCAUGAGAGUCACCACGUGGCAGACAUAUCCAACCAAGCUAUCUUGAUUUCCAAAGGCACAAAAGUGCUGAAAUGUCAGGCACCUGGGUACAACAGUGCCAGCCAAUAUAAGGCUAAGGAGUAAAAAAUUCCAAGGACACAGAUGCUGUCAUCUCUUAACAUGAUUUUGCUUCGUUCACUGAAAUAACAUACAUAUACCCAGGAUAUAUAAAAUAUUUACUAUGAAAAGCAGACCUUUUACACAAUGCAAGAGAACAGUGUGACUGAGAAAAUAAAAAGGCAGCUGUGCAACUGAUUAGUAAAAAUGUACGCAUUCCACAAUGCAGCUGAGAUUUUCUUAGUUGUCAUAUUAGAGGAUGUAAAUUUAUCAAUAUUAUGUAAAGAAAAUUUCUAAUAUAGAUCAAGUGGAGGGUCAAGUACAAUACUCUCAGUCCUCAAAGAGCUUUAGACAUUUAGUUGAAAUAUAAAUGACUCCAUUACCACCUAGAACAGAAUACGCAAGGUGAGUGCCACUGCUCGUGUAGAAGCUAUACAGAUCUCAAACAUUGCACACAAAGACAUUGCUUUGCUGAUUUUACUGAAAAUUCAAUAUUUUUCUUCUGGAAAGAAUGAGGUAGAAAACAAAACUAAUGGCUUUACUAUGAACUAAAUAAAUAACUUCCAAAGGAGUGAACAAUACGUCUCGCACUAGGAUUUUAGUGUUAAUUUUUGUAACGCUGAGAAAAUGCAAAACUACAAGUUUACAAUAGUAAGCCAAGAAAACACGUGUAUUUUCACUGUUAAAGCAUAAAAACCCCCCGUGAAUUCUGCCUUUCACUGUUUUUACUUUAUGUCAGUUUACAUUCCUGUUUUAACUUCCGGUUUUCAAAUGAACUCAGAACUCCAUCAACAGAAACCAGAAUUUUGCCCAGUUUCAGCAUAAAAACAAGCAAGACACAGUUCAGAUAAUGUAACUGCAGGAAGAGCACAAAUCAUAAGCUACAACCCAACAAGUAACUUAAGAGUGAAGCUUAGAAUUUGCUCACUUGGUCCAUACUUAAUCAAAAAUCUCAGCCGCUUAGACUGAAGUUCAGGACUACAGUAGGACUAGAAUCCACGUGAGCUUUAAUCCAUUUUUGCUACAACAAGAGUAGCCUUUUAGAAGUUUUGUAACAGCUGUAAAUAGAUUGGAAAUGUUGUAUUCCACAAACAUAUCUGCUAGAGCUUUGACAAAUAAACCUGAUUACGUUAAAAAUUUGAAUUUAAUUCUAACGAUAGCCAACAGUGAUUCCAAACUUCCAAACCAUCUGAAGAAAGAGAAGAAAUGUAGGUGCUCUGCAGAGAACAAUUUUCCUGUCCCAUUCUGUAACAGGUUUAUUUGAGUGAGUUCAAUACUGUUCUCCAUAAAGGCUUUAAAAAGCCAUCAAUAAAAAUGCAGCUCUGCCUUUCCAACUGAUGUGGACAACCAUCUCCCAUGACAAAAGCAACACGAGGGCAGAUUUUGACAGGGUGCAUUGACUGAUGUGUGGC